UGGAGGGUGUAGGGUAUCCGGAAUUGGUCUUCUCUGAUUUUCUUUGGCCCUGGUCUCCGCUCGCUUCCGUCCUCAAAGCCCGCUCCUCCAGGAAGAGGAGAUUGGCAGUAGGGGUUCAGCCUGGGGUUCCCUCACCGGCUGACCCUCCUGUCUCUCUCUCGGCUUCCCGUCUGGCCAUGGCGAGGUUCUGGGUCUGCGCAGCCGGUGCCGGCUUAUUUCUUACAUUCCUGGUUUUGCAUUCGCGAUUUUGUGGCUCUCCAGUUUUAAGGAACUUUGCUUUUAAAAUUUCCUGGAGAACUGAGAAAAUUCUUUACCGGCUGGAUGUGGGUUGGCCUAAGUAUUCAGAGUAUUUUACUGGAACAACAUUUUGUGUUGCAGUUGACUCCCUCAACGGUUUGGUUUACGUAGCACAAAGAGGGGAUAACAUCCCAAAGGUAUUAGUGUUCACAGAGGAUGGAUUUUUCCUUCGAUCCUGGAAUUAUACAGUUGACACACCUCAUGGUAUGUUUGCAGCCAGUACACUACAUGAACAAUCCGUCUGGAUCACGGAUGUAGGAAGUGGAGCCUAUGGUCAUACUGUUAAAAAAUACAAUUCCUUUGGUGAUCUUGUUCAAAUCUUGGGUACCCCAGGCAAAAAAGGCACUGGUUUGAAUCCCCUGCAGUUUGACAAUCCUGCAGAAUUAUAUGUAGAGGACACAGGAGAUAUUUACAUUGUGGAUGGAGAUGGAGGAUUGAAUAACAGAUUGAUCAAACUGUCCCAAGAUUUCAUGAUCCUUUGGCUGCGUGGAGAAAAUGGGACAGGGCCUGCUAAGUUCAACAUACCUCACAGCGUUACAGUUGAUUCAGCUGGUCGGGUGUGGGUUGCUGACCGUGGAAAUAAAAGAAUCCAAGUAUUUGAUAAAGACACUGGAGAGUGGUUAGGAGCAUGGAAUAAUUGUUUCACAGAAGAGGGACCUUCUUCAGUCAGGUUUACUCCUGAUGGGCAGUACUUGAUCGUGGCCCAGCUGAAUCUGAGCCGGCUCUCAAUCUUAGCAGCACCCCCGGUGGGAAGCAUCGGUGACUGUUCUGUGAUCAGCACCAUCCAACUAGCAGAUCAAGUUUUGCCACAUCUCUUAGAAGUCGAUAGAAAGACUGGAGCAAUCUAUGUAGCAGAAAUUGGAGCAAAACAAGCUGUGACCUGCUAGACCAUUGGUGUUGCCUGGAACAAAUCCGUUCAUCUUUCUGGGCCUCAAUUUCCUCACAUCAAAAGACACAUGAUCUCCUACAACACAGCUGCAUCUGUGGAACAUUGAGCCCCUUUGUUUUUCUUUAUUUGAUGAAGAUGAAGAUGAUAAUGAUGAUGAUGAUGACAAUGAUAAUAGGAGGAAAUUACUAUUUCUAAAUGAUGGCUAGAUGUACAGAGUUCUCCAUGAAAGAGGAAGAUCUCACCAUGGCUAUAUUCUGAUACCUGACUUAACUGAAUUUCCUGCUGAGAUUAAAACUUGAAGUGGAAAGUCGAUCAGAGAGAAUUCACCUAGAUCAGCUGAUCCUGCAGGAAAAAAACAGGCGGCACACUUAUCUGUAUCUAGAGCUUUUGGUUUAAUAUCUUGAAGUCCAGCGUAUGUACAUGGCAGAACACAUGGGGCAGCUGUGUUCACAGCACACGUCUUCUUGGACUGUUGCCAGCGAGGAGGUCGCAGAAAACUCUAAGUUUGAAAUCAGAAAGGCCUGACUCAAGUUGGAGCCUCCUGAUUAUCUGACUCUUUUAAUUUGUCAAGUCGACUUCAUAUUCAGAGAAGAGGACAGAGGACUAAUAUAAAACAGACCAGGCAACCUGAUUAUCCUACCCACAAAAACAGCGGAGCACCUAGCUUGAAAAAUAGCAGAUGAACAAUACUCCGUGAAUAAGCGUUACGUACUAAAUGGAGCGUGAGGUUCAUCGUGCUCCCUAUCACAGUCAAGAGGACGUGCAACACAGAGAAGAAAUAAGUCACUUAAAUAAACUGGAAGAGAUAAAAGAAGAGUUCAAAAUCACUCAGCCAGUUAAAACCAAUUUAACACGUUUGCUGAACAUAGGAUCUUUCUGCUUGGAGUACUCUGGUAGAUUAAUUAUCCAGAGGGUAGGCAAAAAGAAAGCAGAUGACAUCUAUGGGUAUCUAGCAUGUGCCAGAUAUUGAGCAGAGUCCUAUCACGGUAAUAAAAUAAUAGUAACAAACAUUU